CCUACGGGGAGCAGCAGUGGGGAAUAUUGGACAAUGGGCGAAAGCCUGAUCCAGCCAUGCCGCGUGUGUGAAGAAGGCCUUCGGGUUGUAAAGCACUUUCAGCGGGGAAGAAAGCCUUGGGGCUAAUACCCUCGAGGAAGGACAUCACCCACAGAAGAAGCACCGGCUAACUCCGUGCCAGCAGCCGCGGUAAUACGGAGGGUGCGAGCGUUAAUCGGAAUUACUGGGCGUAAAGCGCGCGUAGGCGGUCUGAUAAGCCGGUUGUGAAAGCCCCGGGCUCAACCUGGGAACGGCAUCCGGAACUGUCAGGCUAGAGUGCAGGAGAGGAAGGUAGAAUUCCCGGUGUAGCGGUGAAAUGCGUAGAGAUCGGGAGGAAUACCAGUGGCGAAGGCGGCCUUCUGGACUGACACUGACGCUGAGGUGCGAAAGCGUGGGUAGCAAACAGGAUUAGAUACCCCGGUAGUC
rnacentral:rRNA from 1 species